rnacentral:misc_RNA from 1 species
AAGACUAUAGACCUGCGGAGUACCUGCGGAAGGAUCAUUACAGAGUUGCAAAACUCCCUAAACCAUUGUGAACGUUACCUAAACCGUUGCUUCGGCGGGCGGCCCGGGUCCUUCCCGGCGCCCAUCGGCCCUCGCGGGCGCCCGCCGGAGGUAAACCAAACUAUUGCAUUGUAUGGCCUCUCUGAGUCUUCUGUACUGAAUAAGUCAAAACUUUUAACAAUGGAUCUCUAGAUCGGAAGA